rnacentral:lncRNA from 1 species
GGGACUUGGAGGGUUGCAGCGCCGGGGGAAGUUGGGAACAAAGCUAGGGGGCUGGGAGCUACAGGGAGACGCACUACAAGAAACCAAAAGCAGAAAGUGCCUUUGUCUCCCUUGCUGCCCAAACUUGCGGAAAUCCGGGUGGUCCUGUCUCACCCGCCGCCCACCUGGGCCUGAUCGGCCACGCUGGGACGAUGCCCUCACCGCGCAACCAGCCGAGAGGGAAACAGGUCGGACCUGGGCAGCGCCCGAGGGAAAGCCUGGGUAGCCAGCGGCCAGCAUUUAAAGGCCCCGCCUCCUCAAAGGAAAGGCUGCUGACUCCUUUAAUUGAGACCUGACUCCGGUUUUAACCUGUCAGCCCUGGACCUAAGGAAAGCAGGCAAAAGUAAUGGUGAGAAGUCAGAAGAGGACUGCAAUCAAAGUGCUACUUCGGGAUGAUGGAAUUAAGCAUUUCAACAAAUCUUCCAGUAGCGAUGCUCACUUUAAAUAGAGGGGAAAGUGGGGCAGUGAACAAGAGGUAUGCAUAACUAAACAUACAUGCACUCUGGUUAACCAUUAUCUCAGUUCUAGUCCUGUAAAAUGGCCCUAGAUAAGUCCUUAUUGCUUGGUAGGACAAUCAGGUCACUUUAGGGUCCUGACAGGCAGACACUUUUUAGGAGGUCUGGAACAAGACAUUGUAAAAGUUGACAAUUUAUUGUGCCUUCAUCCUUGAGUGGAAAUGAAAGAAUUGUUGCCACUUUUAGAUAUUCUCUGGUAUUAGCAUACUUACCUGUAGCUGACCUCAAGUAAAGGAGCCAGAUACAAAGUGAAGGGAAUGGUGCCAGGCUUCCCUCCUGCUUCCAGCUUCCUUGUGAGCCAAGAGAGGAAUAAGUACUUUUUAGUAGAAACUUUUAGGUACCUGUUAUAACUUUAUGAAAUUAUUUAUUUUAAUAUCUAGGAUCGGAAAGAUUUGAGCCAUCUGAGAAAUUUUAUGUCAAGAGUAUAGGUCAAAUAUCUUGGCCUAUUUAGUAACAGCUUAGAUUUUAGAGUCAACAGAUCUAUUUUUUGUUGGGUUUCGUGUUUUGUUUUAUUUUCUGUCUCCAUUUACUAGACAGCUUUGGAACCUUUUGUAGUGCCAUAUUGGAUUUGGGCCUGACUGCUUUGCAACUGCAUGGCCACAGUUAAGAAGUCAUGGGAUUGUUGGACAGAGGCCUCUCCCAUGUAUUUACGGCACAGGAAGAAAAGACCAAGUAGUAAACACCCGAUAUCUCCACUGCAUGACCUCUGCUGAGCCCGGCUGAUGCACGUGGAACUGACACACCUGGACCACACCUGGGUGGUGGUCAAUUUACUUCUGCCUUUUACUUCCUCAGCCUUUAUCCUUGAGAUUUAGGCUGGUCUUCUGGGAUUUCUCCCUAAUUAAUUCAGAUCUUGAAGUCAGUCUUUUGUUAACUGAAGUCACGAGCCAGGUAGUCACGAGCCAGGGUUUCCCACUGUGCUUCCCAGAUAUCACCUGGGGAACUUGGGUAUAUAAGUGGUGAAUAAAGCUACAGGAGUCUCUCUCUCUCUCUCUCUCCUGGCUUGACACGAAUAACCUGUGUGUGUGUGUUUCUUUCAUCCCGUAGGCUUUCGCCCGAUUCUCGGUACCAGGUCGGUGCUGGCGCCGACAACCUUUAUUCACCUUAGUUUCCUUAUAUAAGAAAAGA